rnacentral:lncRNA from 1 species
GACACUGGAACUGUUUGUCUCUGUCUCUGCUGUACUUUCCCUGCCUCUACCUCACUUAGUAAAGAAAUCAUCUUUGCUUGAUAACUAAAACAACCAAUAAGGCUGAGAAAGGGGAAAACCCACAUCUGGAUUUAAAUACAAGGUAUUGGGCCAGCUGCUGGGGAUUAAACUUUGAACAAAACAGAUAGAAUCUAUGUCCUCAUGGGAGUGGCUAAUGGGAGAGUCGGAACAAAAAAAUAGCCAAGGAUAAUCCAGCAAAUGAUUUGGUGAAUGCUAUCAAAGAGAGAAAUACACAUGCUCUGGGAACACCAAGUA